rnacentral:rRNA from 1 species
GAUAGUCCCUUACUACUUGGAUAACCGUGGUAAUUCUAGAGCUAAAUACAUGCUGAAAACCUCGACUUCGGAAGGGGUGUAUUUAUUAGAUAAAAAACCAACGCCCUUCGGGGCUUUUUGGUGAUUCAUGAUAACUUUUCGGAUCGCAUGGCCUUGCGCCGGCGACGGUUCAUUCAAAUUUCUGCCCUAUCAACUUUCGAUGGUAAGGUAUUGGCUUACCAUGGUUUCAACGGGUAACGGGGAAUUAGGGUUCGAUUCCGGAGAGGGAGCCUGAGAAACGGCUACCACAUCCAAGGAAGGCAGCAGGCGCGCAAAUUACCCAAUCCCGAUACGGGGAGGUAGUGACAAUAAAUACUGAUACAGGGCUCUUUUGGGUCUUGUAAUUGGAAUGAGUACAAUUUAAACCUCUUAACGAGGAACAAUUGGAGGGCAAGUCUGGUGCCAGCAGCCGCGGUAAUUCCAGCUCCAAUAGCGUAUAUUAAAGUUGUUGCAGUUAAAAAGCUCGUAGUUGAAACUUGGGUCUGGCUGGCAGGUCCGCCUCACCGCGUGUACUUGUCCGGCCGGGCCUUCCUUCUGGAGAACCUCAUGCCCUUCACUGGGCGUGUUGGGGACCAGGACUUUUACUUUGAAAAAAUUAGAGUGUUCAAAGCAGGCCUUUGCUCGAAUACGUUAGCAUGGAAUAAUAGAAUAGGACGUGCGGUCCUAUUUUGUUGGUUUCUAGGACCGCCGUAAUGAUUAAUAGGGACAGUCGGGGGCAUCAGUAUUCAAUUGUCAGAGGUGAAAUUCUUGGAUUUAUUGAAGACUAACUACUGCGAAAGCAUUUGCCAAGGAUGUUUUCAUUAAUCAGUGAACGAAAGUUAGGGGAUCGAAGACGAUCAGAUACCGUCGUAGUCUUAACCGUAAACUAUGCCGACUAGGGAUCGGGCGCUGUUCUUUUUCUGACGCGCUCGGCACCUUACGAGAAAUCAAAGUUUUUGGGUUCUGGGGGGAA